CAAAAACACAAAACAAAACAAAAACCAAUAAGUGUCAGUAAAGAUAUGGAGAAAUUGGAACUCUUGUGCACUGGUGUAUGGAACGUACAAUGGUGACACUGCUAUUGAUGAUAGUAUAGUCAUUCCUAAGAAAAUUAAACAGAUUAUUCUGUGAUCCAGCAAUCCCACCUCUGGGCAUAUGCCCAAACUUAUUGAAAACACAGUCUCAAAGACAUAUUUGUCCACCCACGCUCCUAGCCGUGUUCUUCACAAUAGCUGAAAGUGGAAAAACCCAAGUGUUCACCAGUGAUAAACGGAUGAACGAAAUAUGGUCAAUACAUACAGUGGACUGUUAUCCAGCCUUACAAAGACGGGAUUCUGAUGCACGCUACGUGGAUAAACCUGGGAUUAUUAUGCUGAGUGAAUAUGCUAGACACAAAAGAUUGCAUAUCAAGCCCAGGAUGAAAGAGGGACACUCAGCCUGUCAUGCCUUCCCCAGCAAAGGCAAGUUCAUGAUGACCAUGUGGUCCUCUUUGUGUGGAGAGGCUGCCACCGGGGUCUGAGCAGUGCAGCAUCCUCAGGGUGACAGCCAAGGCCCAGGGCUCCACCAUGCUCCUGGUGAACUACAAACAGGGCCACUUCCACCUGUGUGCCAGCAUCACCAUCGCUGCCAACCUGCCCCUCAAGGUGAGCCAGGAGUCCUGCCCUUCACCACCCACCCUGCCCAAUCCUUCCCUGAUGGGAAUUACUCACUUGCUCUGUGUGAAAUCUGUGACAAAUCUAUGCAAAACCCAAUUGUUCACAAUAGCUUUUGGCAUA